GUCUCUGGCCACGCCGCCCUGAACGCGCCUGAUCUCCGAAGGUAAGCAUCGUCAGGCCUGGUUAGUACUUGGAUGGGACAUCGCCUGGGAAUACCGGGUGCCGUAGGCU
rnacentral:rRNA from 1 species